GGGGGCAGGACGCUUUGCCUUCAGACUGGGCUCGGUGACCAGCUGGUGGGAGCUUUGUCUCCUCAGGGCCGUCAGGGCUCGGGCUCCUGGAUAACGGGGCUGCGUCCGGGCUGAGAGGAGUGGGGUUGCCUCAGUGCCCGCCAGCAGGGAGGCGCUGCAAGAGGGAAAAAUGAGGACGAAGUAGACGUUUCCUGUGUCCAGCUGAGCGCUGACCGGAGGUCCAUCUCAGAGGACUAGAGGAAGGGGGAGGGGAGGAGAGCUCCGUGUGCAAGAUGGCGGGUUUCCAGUUCGAUUUCUGUUAGAUGAUCUAGAGGAUGACCUUCACUGAUGUUCUUCCGUGUUAUCCAGAGGACCCAAGGCAUGGUGGUUGCUAACAGACUUCCCACAGUACUUCUUCAUUCCAUGUGGACUCCUUCAAGGGCAGUGAGCAUCACAGCUUCCCUUGAACUUUGUCUGGAUGUGUCUUAUAUACCUUCUUGCAUGAUUGGAUCGAGAAACUUUCAGAUGGCUAACCUAGAGGAGCCAAGACAUGCAGGCAUACCAGUACCCCACAUGGAUUCUCCUGAGAAAUAUCCUAAUGUGAAGCUUGCACUCUUAGUGAAAGAUUCUGUUCCUAGUAAAACAGUCGGAAUGAAGGAUUUACAAACAUCCACUUCAGGUAAAUUUUGCAAUACACACAUAACUAUGAAAAGAGGGACACUGAAGUAUUUGAAAUGCUCAGUCUUCAUACUGCUAACUUUUAUUUUCAAAUUUAAUUGAAGC
rnacentral:lncRNA from 1 species